rnacentral:rRNA from 1 species
GACGGAGGAUGCAAGUGUUAUCCGGAAUCACUGGGCGUAAAGCGUCUGUAGGUGGUUUCUUAAGUCAACUGUUAAAUCUUGAAGCUUAACUUCAAAAUCGCAGUCGAAACUAGGAGACUUGAGUCUAGUAGGGGUAAAGGGAAUUUCCAGUGGAGCGGUGAAAUGCGUAGAGAUUGGAAAGAACACCGAUGGCGAAGGCACUUUACUGGGCUAUGACUGACACUCAGAGACGAAAGCUAGGGUAGCAAAUGGG